UGGGGAAUAUUGGACAAUGGGCGAAAGCCUGAUCCAGCCAUGCCGCGUGUGUGAAGAAGGUCUGCGGAUUGUAAAGCACUUUAAGUUGGGAGGAAGGGCAGUAAGCGAAUACCUUGCUGUUUUGACGUUACCGACAGAAUAAGCACCGGCUAACUCUGUGCCAGCAGCCGCGGUAAUACAGAGGGUGCAAGCGUUAAUCGGAAUUACUGGGCGUAAAGCGCGCGUAGGUGGUUCGUUAAGUUGAAUGUGAAAGCCACGGGCUCAACCUGGGAAGUGCAACAAAAACUGGCGCGGUGGAGUAGGGCAGAGGGUGGGGGGAUUUGCUGUGUAGCGGUGAAAUGCGUAGAUAUAGGAAGGAACACCAGUGGCGAAGGCGACCACCUGGGCUCAAACUGACACUGAGGUGCGAAAGCGUGGGGAGCAAACAGG
rnacentral:rRNA from 1 species